rnacentral:tRNA from 1 species
GAAAUAUAUAAAUUAAGAAAAAACUUCUAAUUUUUAUCUUUAGCAGUGAAAUUCUGUUAAUAUUUCU